rnacentral:rRNA from 2 species
UACAGAGGUCUCGAGCGUUAGGCGGAAUCACUGGGCUUAAAGCGUGUGUAGGUGGAUGCCUAAGUACCUUGUGAAAUCCCACGGCUUAACCGUGGAACUGCUUGGUAUACUGGGUGUCUUGAGUCACUCAGGGGCGAGCGGAACAAAUGGUGGAGCGGUGAAAUGCGUAGAUAUCUGGAGGAACACCGGUGGCGAAGGCGGCAUCCUGGACCGGCAUUGACGCUGAGGCGCGAAAGCCAGGGGAGCAAACGGG